rnacentral:rRNA from 1 species
CGACCGGCGCACGGGUGAGUAACGCGUAUCCAACCUGCCCACCACUUGGGGAUAACCUUGCGAAAGUAAAGACUAAUACCCAAUGAUAUCUCUAGAAGACAUCUGAAAGAGAUUAAAGAUUUAUCGGUGAUGGAUGGGGAUGCGUCUGAUUAGCUUGUUGGCGGGGUAACGGCCCACCAAGGCAACGAUCAGUAGGGGUUCUGAGAGGAAGGUCCCCCACAUUGGAACUGAGACACGGUCCAA